CUCUUGUUCUGGGAGCUGAGCCACCCCCUUGGCUCCUCUAUUAGCUCCGGGGCCCUGAGCAAAAAGCCCUCUCUCUGUGGCCCUUUGUGUGUCUGCCAAUCGGUGAUGAUUACACUUCCCAGGUGACUGUAAAGUGCCUGGUUCACGUGCUGGCACACCACUGUCCCCAGUGACAAAACAGAGCCCGCGGGCAGACGGCGCCAUCCACGGACCAACGAGAAAAGUUUCCAGCAACAGAAGGAGAAACUGAGGGUCAGAGAGAAGUCAUGUAGCAGGUGAGAACGUGAGCCAAGCGCAUUUGCAUCCAGACACUGCUUUUCCGAGCAUGUCCUGUUCACAUAGUCCUGGAUGGAUGAGACAUCCACUGCCGUCCCCACAUCACGGGUGGGAGAAGAGGCCCCGGGGAGGCCCAUCCGCAGAUGCAGUAAAGGCUGAUCAGACAAGAACAUCCCACCCAGGAGGGUCUGGGGGCUCCCAGAAGCCCCAGGCUGCAGAUGCACACCCCCGCCCCCAGGAGCCGUUCCAGAGCCCGGAGCCCAGCCAGCCUCCAGAGAUCGGGGACCUAAUUCAUCCCACAAGGCCGGCGGAUGUGAGGCAGCAACGCAGAACUUCAUCAUACCCGUCCGCCGGGUCAGAAGCAGCCCGAGCACUGGCACAGAGCAAGUGCUGGAGACAUGCCUGCAGUUCGUUAUGGAUGAAUUUUUGGCAUAGCCUCUGUCUGCCAGCCCUGCCCCUGCCCCAGGACCUUUGCACACAUGGCCUUUGCUUCCUGGAACACCCUUUCAGGCUGUAUCUUCAUGGUGGAUGGCAGAUGCCCAGUAAACAAAGC